rnacentral:rRNA from 1 species
GAUGAACGCUGGCGGCGUGCCUAAUACAUGCAAGUCGAGCGAACAGACGAGGAGCUUGCUCCUCUGACGUUAGCGGCGGACGGGUGAGUAACACGUGGAUAACCUACCUAUAAUACUGGGAUAACUUCGGGAAACCGGAGCUAAUACCGGAUAAUAUAUUGAACCGCAUGGUUCAAUAGUGAAAGACGGUUUUGCUGUCACUUAUAGAUGGAUCCGCGCCGCAUUAGCUAGUUGGUAAGGUAACGGCUUACCAAGGCAACGAUGCGUAGCCGACCUGAGAGGGUGAUCGGCCACACUGGGACUGAGACACGGUCCAGACUCCUACGGGAGGCAGCAGUAGGGAAUCUUCCGCAAAGGGCGAAAGCCUGACGGAGCAACGCCGCGUGAGUGAUGAAGGUCUUCGGAUCGUAAAACUCUGUUAUUAGGGAAGAACAAAUGUGUAAGUAACUAUGCACGUCUUGACGGUACCUAAUCAGAAAGCCACGGCUAACUACGUG